UCCAUCUUCCUCGCGGGAGGCCCAGAGU
rnacentral:sRNA from 1 species